rnacentral:misc_RNA from 1 species
GGAAGAACGUAGCGAAAUGCGAUAACUAAUGUGAAUUGCAGAAUUCAGUGAAUCAUCGAGUCUUUGAACGCACAUUGCGCCCCCUGGUAUUCCGGGGGGCAUGCCUGUCCGAGCGUCAUUGCUGCCCUCAAGCACGGCUUGUGUGUUGGGCUCCGUCCCCCCGGGGACGGGCCCGAAAGGCAGCGGCGGCACCGAGUCCGGUCCUCGAGCGUAUGGGGCUUUGUCACCCGCUCUGUAGGCCCGGCCGGCGCCAGCCGACAACCCAUCAUCCUUUUCAGGUUGACCUCGGAUCAGGUAGGGAUACCCGCUGAACUUAAGCAUAUCAAUAAGCGGAGGA